UUAGAUCACUAGGGGUGCUAUUUAGCUGAGACGGAAAUGUGAUUCCAAACCCUUUGAACCUGAUCUGGAUUAUACCAGCGUAGGGAAGUGAGCUUGAACUUUG
rnacentral:ncRNA from 2 species